rnacentral:piRNA from 1 species
GGGAGUGCUCGUUUUCAUCUGAUGU